GUUUUCAAUUUGUAUUAACACUCCAAUUAAGGAGACGUUAAAAAAAGACCAAAAGUAUAAAAAGACAACCAAGGUUCAACACAAUUGGUGGCCCGGAAUCAACACGAGAACCAAGGUUCAAGUAAUGAUUAACCGCGUUUAUAAGCCCAAGGCUAUCCACCAAAAACAGAUACAGUUCACAUAAUGUUUAACGGUUUUACUAGAAGCCAUUUCUGGCAACUAUACCGGAUUUGUAAUGAUCCAACCGCAGGUUCACCUACGGUUA
rnacentral:misc_RNA from 1 species